rnacentral:rRNA from 1 species
AAUGAACGCUGGCGGCGUGCUUAACACAUGCAAGUCGAACGAGAACGCCUCAGCUUGCUGAGGCAAGUAAAGUGGCGCACGGGUGAGUAACGCGUGGGUAAUCUACCUCCGAAUUGGGGAUAACAUUGCGAAAGCGGUGCUAAUACCGAAUAAUAUCCUCAAGACUCAGGUUUUGAGGACCAAAGGUGGCCUCUACAUGUAAGCUACUGUUUGGAGAUGAGCCCGCGUACCAUUAGCUUGUUGGUGGGGUAACGGCCUACCAAGGCUGCGAUGGUUAGCUGGUCUGAGAGGAUGAUCAGCCACACUGGAACUGACACACGGUCCAGACUCCUACGGGAGGCAGCAGUGAGGAAUUUGCGCAAUGGGGAAACCCUGACGCAGCAACGCCGCGUGAGUGAUGAAGGCCUUCGGGUCGUAAGCUCUGUCAGUGGAGAAUACUGUCGGUGAUAUACCGCUGGCGAAUGACGGUACCG